rnacentral:rRNA from 1 species
GACGAACGCUGGCGGCGUGCUUAACACAUGCAAGUCGAACGGAAAGGCCCUGCUCUUGUGGGGUGCUCGAGUGGCGAACGGGUGAGUAACACGUGAGUAACCUGCCCUUGACUUUGGGAUAACUUCAGGAAACUGGGGCUAAUACCGGAUAGGAGCUCCUGCUGCAUGGUGGGGGUUGGAAAGUUUCGGCGGUUGGGGAUGGACUCGCGGCUUAUCAGCUUGUUGGUGGGGUAGUGGCUUACCAAGGCUUUGACGGGUAGCCGGCCUGAGAGGGUGACCGGCCACAUUGAGACUGAGAUACGGCCAAGAUUGCUACGGGAGGCAGCAGUAGGGAUUAUUGCACAAUGAGCGGAAGGCUGAUGCAGCAACGCCGCGUGCGGGAUGACGGCCUUCGGGUUGUGAACCGCUUUCGCCUGUGACGAAGCGUGAGUGACGGUAAUGGGUAAAGAAGCACCGGCUAACUACGUG